AAACUGGGCCCUGAAGCAGCAGAGGGCUUUGCCCAGGGUGGUGGCACUAGACUGGGACAGAUUAGGAUGAGGUGCCGGGCCCUUCCUGCUACUGGUGUCCUUUCUCCUCAGUCACAAGGACAUAGUAGCUGAGGGGUUGCGCCAGCUGCUGGGGGAGGAGAAAUACCGCCAGGACCUGACUGUGCCUCCAGGCUACUGCACAGGUGAGCAAGGGGCAGGCGGCAGGCCCGGGGAGACGGAGCCCUGGCUAAGGCCGCCGGCCCUGCUCCCCUCCAGACUUCCUGCUGUGCGCCAGCAGCUCUGGUGCUGUGCUUCCCGUGAGGACCCAGGACCCCUUCCUGCCAUACCCACCAAGGUCCUGCCCACAGGGCCAGGCUGCCUCUAGCGCCACUACUCGAGACCCUGCCCAGAGGGUGGUGCUGGUGUUGCGGGAACGCUGGCAUUUCUGC
rnacentral:lncRNA from 10 species